rnacentral:rRNA from 1 species
AGUGAACGCUGGCGGUAGGCCUAACACAUGCGAGUCGAACGGCAGCACAGUAAGAGCUUGCUCUUACGGGUGGCGAGUGGCGGACGGGUGAGGAAUAGAUCGGAAUCUACUUUUUCGUGGGGGAUAACGUAGGGAAACUUACGCUAAUACCGCAUACGACCUACGGGUGAAAGCAGGGGAUCUUCGGACCUUGCGCGAUUGAAUGAGCCGAUGUCGGAUUAGCUAGUUGGCGGGGUAAAGGCCCACCAAGGCGACGAUCCGUAGCUGGUCUGAGAGGAUGAUCAGCCACACUGGAACUGAGACACGGUCCAGACUCCUACGGGAGGCAGCAGUGGGGAAUAUUGGACAAUGGGCGCAAGCCUGAUCCAGCCAUACCGCGUGAGUGAUGAAGGCCUUCGGGUUGUAAAGCCCUUUUGUUGGGAAAGAACAGCAGCAGGUUAAUACCCCGCUGUUCUGACGGUACCCAAAGAAUAAGCACCGGCUAACUUCGUG